AUGGAUAGUGGAAUCGGCUACAGAUUUUACCCAUCCGAUGUAGAAUUGGUGGAACAUUACUUGAAGCAGAAAAUGCUUGGCAAUGAUGAUGAAGUGUGGCAAAUUCCUGAAGUUAAUGUCUUGAACUAUGAACCUUGCGAGCUACCUCUGAUGACAAACAACCCUGAUGAUCAAGUGUGGUAUUUCUUUUGCACUCCAAACUACAAGUACUCAAAAGAGCAAGCGAGUUAACAGAACAACUAAUGCUGGACAAUGGAAAGUUACUGGCAAGGAUUGUAAAAUCAAAGACAUUGCUAUCAAAAAGACAUUGGGUUUCUAUGAGGGUCGCCCUAAAGGUGUUAGGACCAACUGGGUCAUGCAUGACUACAGUCCCACUUUCCACAUCCCGACCCAGAGGGAUUUUGUUAUUUGCAAAAUCAAGAAAAGGUUAGAUGUUGACGAUGAGCCAACUGAAGAAGGUGAUUCAAGCACGGUCAUAGUUGCUGAUACUAGGAGCCAAAGUUGGAACAACUACGGUUCCACCUUUGAAGGACAGGUUACAUCCCCAUUGACAUUUGGUUCUGAAACUUGUACAACAGACGAAGACACUCAAAUUCAAGCAUAUGUACAAUCCUUCCAUGGCUAUAAUGAGAUGGAUUACAAUCUUGAUUACGCUUUUCAGUGGUGAAAACAAUCAUUAUCAUUAGUGAAGAAUCUGUGUAGUCUCCAAUCUUAGGAAACAAGUUCUUGUGGUUGUUCUGGUUUAUGUUCUAAUUUUUGUUAUAUGUAUAUAGAAGUUGGUACUAUGUAAACUAACUUCUGAUUGUAUAUAAAAGUUAGUAAUAUGUAA